rfam:Salmo salar isolate Sally breed double haploid chromosome ssa06, whole genome shotgun sequence.
UUCCCCGUAGCUCAGUUGGUAGAGCAUGGUGUUUGCAACGCCAGGGUUGUGGGUUCGAUUCCCACGGGGGGGC